GUGGGGAAUAUUGGACAAUGGGCGAAAGCCUGAUCCAGCCAUGCCGCGUGUGUGAAGAAGGUCUUCGGAUUGUAAAGCACUUUAAGUUGGGAGGAAGGGCAUUAACCUAAUACGUUAGUGUUUUGACGUUACCGACAGAAUAAGCACCGGCUAACUUCGUGCCAGCAGCCGCGGUAAUACGAAGGGUGCAAGCGUUAAUCGGAAUUACUGGGCGUAAAGCGCGCGUAGGUGGUUUUGUAAGUUGAAGGUGAAAUCCCCGGGCUCAACCUGUGAACUGCCUCCAAAACUGCAUGACUAGAGUACGGUAGAGGGUAGUGGAAUUUCCUGUGUAGCGGUGAAAUGCGUAGAUAUAGGAAGGAACACCAGUGGCGAAGGCGACUACCUGGACUGAUACUGACACUGAGGUGCGAAAGCGUGGGGAGCAAACAGGAUUAGAAACCCUGGUAGUCC
rnacentral:rRNA from 1 species